UACGAAGGGGGCUAGCGUUGUUCGGAAUUACUGGGCGUAAGGCGCGCGCAGGCGGCUAUCCAAGUCAGUGGUGAAAGCCCGGAGCUCAACUCCGGAACUGCCAUUGAAACUGUUUAGCUUGAGGACGAGAGAGGUGAGUGGAAUUCCCAGUGUAGAGGUGAAAUUCGUAGAUAUUGGGAAGAACACCGGUGGCGAAGGCGGCUCACUGGCUCGUUUCUGACGCUCAGGCGCGACAGCGUGGGGAUCAAACAGG
rnacentral:rRNA from 1 species